GAUGAAGAACGUAGCGAAAUGCGAUAAGUAAUGUGAAUUGCAGAAUUCAGUGAAUCAUCGAAUCUUUGAACGCACAUUGCGCCCGUCAGUAUUCUGGCGGGCAUGUCUGUUCGAGCGUCAUUACGCCCCUCAAGUCCCCUGUGGACUUGGCGUUGGGGAUCGGCGAGGCUGGUUUUCCAGCACAGCCGUCCCUUAAAUUAAUUGGCGGUCUCGCCGUGGCCCUCCUCUGCGCAGUAGUAAAACACUCGCAACAGGAGCCCGGCGCGGUCCACUGCCGUAAAACCCCCCAACUUUUUAUAGUUGACCUCGAAUCAGGUAGGACUACCCGCUGAACUUAAGCAUAUCAAUAAGCGGAGGA
rnacentral:misc_RNA from 1 species